rnacentral:ncRNA from 2 species
GUCUAGCCCCGAUGGGAACGGUAUCCUUUUUUAGGAUUGGCCUGAGCAUUUGCGAAGGCACAUCAAUCCUGAAAAAGAUACAGUGGACAGCGGGAAACACC